UACGAAGGGGGCUAGCGUUGCUCGGAAUCACUGGGCGUAAAGGGCGCGUAGGCGGCUGUUCAAGUCGGGGGUGAAAGCCUGUGGCUCAACCACAGAAUGGCCUUCGAUACUGGACGGCUCGAGACCGGAAGAGGUCAGUGGAACUGCGAGUGUAGAGGUGAAAUUCGUAGAUAUUCGCAAGAACACCAGUGGCGAAGGCGGACUGACUGGUCCGGUUCUGACGCUGAGGCGCGAAAGCGUGGGGAGCAAACAGG
rnacentral:rRNA from 1 species